CCGACGGUGAGGGGUGAAAGCUGGGGGAGCAAACCGGAUUAGAUACCCGGGUAGUCCCAGCCGUAAACGAUGUGCGUUAGGUGUAUCGGUGACCACGAGUCACCGAGGUGCCGAAGAGAGAUCGUGAAACGUACCGCCUGGGAAGUACGGUCGCAAGGCUGAAACUUAAAGGAAUUGGCGGGGGAGCACCACAACAGGUGGAGCCUGCGGUUUAAUCGGACUCAACGCCGGAAAACUCACCAGAUAAGACAGCUGAAUGAUAGUCGGGCUGAAGACUCUACUUGACUAGCUGAGAGGAGGUGCAUGGCCGUCGUCAGUUCGUACUGUGAAGCAUCCUGUUAAGUCAGGCAACGAGCGAGACCCACGCCAACAGUUGCU
rnacentral:rRNA from 1 species